AGUGAACGCUGGCGGCAGGCCUAACACAUGCAAGUCGAGCGGCAGCGCGGGGGCAACCCUGGCGGCGAGCGGCGGACGGGUGAGGAAUUCGUCGGAAUCUGCCUUUUUGUGGGGAUAACGUAGGGAAACUUACGCUAAUACCGCAUACGUCCUACGGGAGAAAGUGGGGGACCGCAAGGCCUCACGCAGAAAGAUGAGCCGACGACCGAUUAGCUAGUUGGUGGGGUAAAGGCCCACCAAGGCGACGAUCGGUAGCUGGUCUGAGAGGAUGAUCAGCCACACUGGGACUGAGACACGGCCCAGACUCCUACGGGAGGCAGCAGUGGGGAAUAUUGGACAAUGGGCGCAAGCCUGAUCCAGCCAUGCCGCGUGUGUGAAGAAGGCCUUCGGGUUGUAAAGCACUUUUGUCCGGAAAGAAAUCCCUGGAGCUAAUACCUUCGGGGGAUGACGGUACCGGAAGAAUAAGCACCGGCUAACUUCGU
rnacentral:rRNA from 1 species